rnacentral:sRNA from 1 species
CCCGAGUUGUUUAAUGUAUCACACGGCUUGGCAUAUUAGUCAGGGUGCCUUUUUUUAAACGAAGGUUGGCUAGUAGAAGUCGUGGAAGAAAGAG